UGGGGUGUAGCUCAGUGGGUAGAGCACAUGGCUUUGAUCCAUGUGGUCGGGGGUUCGAAUCCCUCCACCCUUGCCA
rnacentral:tRNA from 1 species